AAGGCAGCUUCCAAUAUCUGCUGAGAAGUUUCGGGACCUGUAGCAUUUAAAAAAGUUUUGCAACAAAGCAGCGCAAGAUUUUUUUUCAAACCUGCCGCAUCACUAAUUAACGAAUUGGAAUAUUGUUUGGAGCCUUUCGUACUAACGACGAUCGAGGUUAUGAUUACUGUGAAAGAACAGGCUCAUUUCAAUAAAAUGGAUCCCUUCUUCCCCUGUCACUUUUGUACCUGUAUGUGAUUUUAUUUUUUUUUUGCACUGAACGGAAAUACAAACAGUCUCAAAACA